rnacentral:rRNA from 1 species
UACGGAGGGUGCAAGCGUUAUCCGGAUUCACUGGGUUUAAAGGGUGCGUAGGUGGGCAGGUAAGUCCGUGGUGAAAUCUCUGAGCUUAACUCAGAAACUGCCGUGGAUACUAUUUGUCUUGAAUAUUGUGGAGGUGAGCGGAAUAUGUCAUGUAGCGGUGAAAUGCUUAGAUAUGACAUAGAACACCAAUUGCGAAGGCAGCUCACUACACAAUGAUUGACGCUGAGGCACGAAAGCGUGGGGAGCAAACAGG